rnacentral:rRNA from 1 species
GGAGCCGUAGCGAAAGCGAGUUUUAACUGAGCGUUCAGUUACUUGACGUAGACCCGAAACCGGGCGACCUACCCAUGAGCAGGAUGAAGCGAAAGUAAAAUUUCGUGGAGGUCCGAACCCACGAGCGUUGAAAAGCUCGGGGAUGACUUGUGGGUAGCGGUGAAAUUCCAAUCGAGCCCGGAGAUAGCUGGUUCUCCCCGAAAUAGCUUUAGGGCUAGCCUCAAGGUGAGAGAUACGGAGGUAGAGCACUGAAUGUCCUAGGGGGUAUUGCACCUACCGAAGACUAUCAAACUCCGAAUGCCGUCAUCUUAUACUUGGGAGUCAGACUGUGGGUGAUAAGAUUCAUAGUCGAAAGGGCAACAGCCCAGAUCGUCAGCUAAGGUCCCUAAAUGUAAGUUAAGUGGUAAAGGAUGUGGGAUUGCACAGACAACCAGGAUGUUGGCUUAGAAGCAGCCACUCAUUCAAAGAGUGCGUAAUAGCUCACUGGUCGAGUGAUCCUGCGCCGAAGAUUUCCGGGGCUAAAACUUACUACCGAAGCUACGGCAUCAGUAAUGAUGGGUAGGGGAGCUUCCCAUACGGGUUGAAGCAUGACCGUAAGGACAUGUGGACAGUAUGGGAGUGAGAAUGUUGGCAUGAGUAGCGAGAUGUGGGUGAGAAUCCCACAGGCCGUAAACCCAAGGUUUCCAGGGGAAGGUUCGUCCGCCCUGGGUUAGUCGGGACCUAAGCUGAGGCCGAAAGGCGUAGGUGAUGGACAACAGGUUGAUAUUCCUGUACUACCGAUAACCGUUUGAGAGAUGGGAUGACACAGUAGGAUAAGCUAAGCACACUGUUGGUUAUGUGUGCCCAAGCAUUGAGG